CAUGAGUGUGAGUGGCUCCAAGGCUGUGGCCUGUGCAGGAGCUCCGUUCCUGUGAGGGAAGGGAGAGAAGAGGACAGAGGCAAGCUGCCAAUUGUCAGUGUCCUUCAGUUCGGAGCCACCUCUGCUCCAAGUCUUAAGAGGCUCCCCCGAGGCCAUCACCUGGAGGUGAGCAGCCACCCCAGGCUGGAGCAGGAUCUGCUCCAGAGUCCCAAAAGAUUCAUCUUCUAUGUGACUCAUUGUCCUGUGGAGCCAACCCAUUUUACUGAUGAAGGACAUAAUUGUUAACGGACUUUUACUGAAGUGAGCAUUACCUUUUUUCUUAUGCUCCAUGGACAUCUCAUCAAGGACCCUUGAAGUGAGGUUACCAUUCUUAGCUCCCACAGCGAAGAGAUCUCAGGAGACUGGACACUGAAGAAUCUCAUCUUGUAUAAAGACAGACCAAGUUCUUCAUUUUUGACUUUUGACAAUUUGACUCUAAUGUGCCUCAGAGAGAAUCAUUUUGGGUUGAAUCUGUUUGGAGUUCUUUGAGCUUCCUGGAUCUCGAUGUCCAUCUCUCGCCCAAGACUUGGCAAGUUUUCU
rnacentral:lncRNA from 1 species